rnacentral:tRNA from 1 species
UCCGGGGUAGCUCAACUGGCGGAGCAGGGCGCUGUUAACGCCAAGGUUGUGGGUUCGAGUCCCACCCCCGGAG